GAGUUUGAUCAUGGCUCAGAGCGAACGCUGGCGGCAUGCUUAACACAUGCAAGUCGCACGGGCAGGGGAAACUCUGUCAGUGGCGGACGGGUGAGUAACGCGUAGGUAUCUAUCCUUGGGUGGGGGACAACUGUGGGAAACUACAGCUAAUACCGCAUGAUAACCGAGGUUUAAAGGCGCAAGUCGCCUGAGGAGGAGCCUGCGUACGAUUAGCUAGUUGGUGGGGUAAAGGCCUACCAAGGCGACGAUCGUUAGCUGGUCUGAGAGGAUGAUCAGCCACAUUGGGACUGAGACACGGCCCAAACUCCUACGGGAGGCAGCAGUGGGGAAUAUUGGACAAUGGGCGAAAGCCUGAUCCAGCAAUGCCGCGUGUGUGAAGAAGGUCUUCGGAUUGUAAAGCACUUUCGACGGGGACGAUGAUGACGGUACCCGUAGAAGAAGCCCCGGCUAACUUCGUGCCAGCAGCCGCGGUAAUACG
rnacentral:rRNA from 1 species